rnacentral:rRNA from 1 species
UACAGAGGGGGCAAGCGUUAUUCGGAAUUAUUGGGCGUAAAGGGCGCGUAGGCGGCUUUGCAAGUGGCGGGUGAAAUCCCUCGGCUUAACCGAGGAACUGCCUGUCAAACUGCAUGGCUUGAGACCAGGAGAGGUGAGUGGAAUUCCCAGUGUAGCGGUGAAAUGCGUAGAUAUCGGGAGGAACACCAGUGGCGAAGGCGACUACCUGGCCUGUUCUUGACGCUGAGGCGCGAAAGCUAGGGGAGCAAACGGG